rnacentral:rRNA from 1 species
AUUGAACGCUGGCGGCAGGCCUAACACAUGCAAGUCGAGCGGAUGAAGAGAGCUUGCUCUCUGAUUCAGCGGCGGACGGGUGAGUAAUGCCUAGGAAUCUGCCUGGUAGUGGGGGACAACGUUUCGAAAGGAACGCUAAUACCGCAUACGUCCUACGGGAGAAAGUGGGGGAUCUUCGGACCUCACGCUAUCAGAUGAGCCUAGGUACGAUUAGCUAGUUGGUGAGGUAAGGCUCACCAAGGCGACGAUCGUUAACUGGUCUGAGAGGAUGAUCAGUCACACUGGAACUGAGACACGGUCCAGACUCCUACGGGAGGCAGCAGUGGGGAGUAUUGGACAAUGGGCGAAAGCCUGAUCCAGCCAUGCCGCGUGUGUGAAGAAGGUCUUCGGAUUGUAAAGCACUUUAAGUUGGGAGGAAGGGCAGUAAGUUAAUACCUUGCUGUUUUGACGUUACCGACAGAAUAAGCACCGGCUAACUUCGUGCCAGCCGCCGCCGUAACAC